AUGAAUACCACUGGCAUUUCCUGCUGUAGAUGAAGGAUUUGACCAGACUGCAUAAAGAAACUUUCCUAGCUCCAAUAUAACUUCUCUGAGAUAAGGAGAUUAAAACUGCAUGAAGUUUUCAAGAUGUGGGCAAACCAUGGAUUCAUAAGUGCUUUUUAGAAUUACAAGAUAGAUUUCAUUUUGUCAGCCUUGGAAGCAUGGAAAAUCUGAGGAACGUCUCUGUAAGGUGAUUGUCACUAUCCCUGCAAAUGAAGAAAUCUGAAAAGGGAGAAGAUGCAGACCGGUGAUCCUGGAGUUCCUGUGUUGGAGGAAGCAGCUGGCUUUCCUAGCAGCAUUCAGCAGCAUCCUGGUCACACAGACUUUUCUACACAUUUCAGCUUUGACAGGAGUCCUCAUCGUCAUUAUCUGGCAAAAGUUCAGAUCCUUGUCAUUUCCUGGGCACUACCAUUACAUCAGUGUUAUCAAUGGAAGAGCAAAGGCUUCUCUGAGCUGCUGUGGAUUCAUCAUCACCAUAAAAUCCUAUUGAUUCUCCAUAUCUGGAAUAUAGUUUUUUAGCUCUGAGUUUAAACUGGAAGUACUAAAGCACACUUUCAGUGCGGUUUGCCUUGAAAUUGGGUCAAUUUCAGAUAAUAUUCACAAAUAGGUCCAUAAUUUGGAUUCUUUGUUUGAAUCUUCUGUUUCAGAGUGUUUCAGUCUUAAAAAUUAAUUUUGGUCCAUAGUGAACAGACAUUUUGUAACAAGUACUUUUC